AGGGUAGCCCAUGGGGUAGCCUAGCUUGUGGUUGUAUUUUUGUCGACGCUCUGUUAGUACGUCAUACACUUUGUUAAUCUGAUUGGUUGAUUUGGCCCGU